AGCAUAUCAAUAAGCGGAGGAAAAGAAACCAACAGGGAUUGCCCUAGUAACGGCGAGCGAAGCGGCAACAGCUCAAAUUUGAAAUCUGGCUACUUUGUAGUCCGAGUUGUAAUUUGUAGAGGAUGCUUUUGGUGAGGUGCCUUCCGAGUUCCCUGGAACGGGACGCCAGAGAGGGUGAGAGCCCCGUACGGUUGGAUACCAAACCUUUGUAUAGCUCCUUCAACGAGUCGAGUAGUUUGGGAAUGCUGCUCUAAAUGGGAGGUAUAUCUCUUCUAAAGCUAAAUAUAGGCUAGAGACCGAUAGCGCACAAGUAGAGUGAUCGAAAGAUGAAAAGCACUUUGAAAAGAGAGUUAAACAGCACGUGAAAUUGUUGAAAGGGAAGCGCCUAUGACCAGACUUGUUUCUUUCAGUUUUGUUAGUUCUCGGACUGAUUUACUCUGUUAGUACAGGCCAGCAUCAGUUUGUUGUCGGGGAGAAAGGCUUAGGGAAUGUGGCUCCUUCGGGAGUGUUAUAGCCCUUUGCAUAAUACCCUUCGGCAGACUGAGGACCGCGCUUCGGCAAGGAUGCUGGCGUAAUGGUCAUCAGCGACCCGUCUUGAAACACGGACCAAGGAGUCAACCUUAUGUGCGAGUGUUUGGGUGUAAAACCCCAGCGCGUAAUGAACGUGAACGUAGGUGAGAGCUUCGGCGCAUCAUCGACCGAUUCUGAUGUUCUCGGAUGGAUUUGAGUAAGAGCACACAGGGUUGGACCCGAAAGAAGGUGAACUAUGCUUGUAUAGGGUGAAGCCAGAGGAAACUCUGGUGGAGGCUCGCAGCGGUUCUGACGUGCAAAUCGAUCGUCAAAUAUGAGCAUGGGGGCGAAAGACUAAUCGAACCUUCUAGUAGCUGGUU
rnacentral:rRNA from 1 species